GUCACCCUCAAACUAAAACUGCACAAAAAAGGUAAACGUGAAAUAUAAGAAAUGAAAACUCCUAGAAUGGCACUUUAGUGCAUGCAACUCCCAGUUCCUUUCGCAACACCACAGGACAAUGGUGUGAGAGUUUCGAAGUUCCUCACAGGUGAAGAUGCGCACUACCAGUACUGUGAGUCCUCCUCCCUCCUCCUGACCUCACACUUCACCUCAUUUCAGUACAGUCAACUUGAGUUAGCUACACUAUGACACAGGAGUGGCAAUAAACUUCUACAGGUGCAUGCUGUUCUUUGUGUUGUGAUAAGCAUAGGGCAAUUUACAAACCUGCUUCCAAAUUGUGAGCCAACUUGUGCAUCCUCUUUCAGAACACUGGGAUUCUGAAACCACACUUGCAGGACCAGAAGCACUUUUCUAUCUAUAUAGCUACCACAUCACCUGAACUGCUAAGUCUUCCCUCAAGCCAUCAGCCACAACUAGCCAGAACUAAAGGCCUUCACCAUGAGCAGAAAAUUAUUUGCAUGCACAGACCACUGUCACUUAGAAGCAAAACCUGAGCUAUUAAUAACUCUUCCUUACAGAUAAGCCUCUAGUGAUCCAAAAUAUCAGACCAUAAAUAUAUUUCAAGUCUUUUGGAAACAGCUGGAAAGACUCAAGAUUCGAUUAAACCAGAAAUUUAUCCAACAAUAAGGUAUCCAAUAUUGGUCAAGAUUUGAAGCAAAAGGAUUUCAAGUGAACUACAAGCACCUAACUUCUCAACAUUGCUGAAAGUUUUCUCAAUAUUAAGUUAUACAGCCUGGAUAUCAGCAGAAUUAGGCAUCACACACUGGUGUCUCAGAUGUGUUGCAAAACACCUUUUAACAAGCUCAAGUCUAGGUGUAGCUUCCACAACAGAAGCUCCCUUCACUCCAUAAGGGACAAAACCUCUUACAGCAAAGUGAAAUGUCUUCAACUGUGCUAUCUCAUGAACAUCUUGCUGCUGGCCACUGGCAAGUGGUUUUCAUUUACUUCCAUUUUAUUUCUCUUCAUCAAGCUCUGUCCUUGACCUUCACUUGUUCGGACUUUCUCUGGAACUUAGAUGAGUAUAUGGGAAGCAAAUUCAACUCACAGUAAUGCAUUAAAAAGCAUAAAAUUAUUACAACUAAGGGUCAUAAGCAAUGAAGAAAAGGCAUACUACCAACUCCCAAGUGAGUUCCUUGAGGUGCAAGCCCUUCUUGCUGCAGCAAUGAACACUGGCGGCCUACAGCUUGAAAAAGGGAUGAAAGCUUUUAAAUCAUAUCAGGAAGCUGGAUGUCAGUGACCAAAAAUGAAGCAAAAUUAAAUGCAACACAACUGGAGCAUAGAAAUCCUUACAGUUUUACUUCACUUUCAUUUAAUAUAUCCCACUCAACAGGCAUGCUUCAUUAUUUCAGCAGCAUGAGAAGAGUGUGGCAUGUACAAACAUGCAAGUGUGCUCCAGUGCAUUUAAAGAGAACAUCAAACAGAAGCAAGAUGUAACACAGCAUGGAAUAAAUUCCAGGGCUGACAGACCCUACAUUCCUAAAAGGCCAGCUGAGCUGAGAGUUGAAGCAGGACUAAAGACAAGUAAAAAGCCCCCAGGAACAAGCUGUCCAGCCAGACUGCAAUAAAGCAGGACAAAGAUCCAGGUGCUUUCAAUUUGAAUUCACUGUACUGCACUGGCAUAAACUGGCACUUACAUUCAGCUAUGCCUCACACUUCACUGGAAUGGACUUGGGGGAGGAAAGGAUGGCAUUUAAUAACACAUGCUGCAAAACAGAGCUUUCCCAGGAUAUGUAACAAAACAAGAGACUGCACGACCUGCUCAAGGUUACAGAAUGACUCCAUUGCUCACUCUGAAUUCAAAACUGGUAUCCUUCUGACUCCUCCUGCAUUUUCACUAAUAAAAUAAUACCACUACUGAA